rnacentral:rRNA from 1 species
GGCUUAGACAGCUAGGAUGUUGGCUUAGAAGCAGCCAUCAUUUAAAGAAAGCGUAAUAGCUCACUAGUCGAGUCGGCCUGCGCGGAAGAUGUAACGGGGCUAAAACUAGUCACCGAAGCUGCGGCAUCAAUGGAAACAUUGUUGGGUAGGGGAGCGUUCUGUAAGCGGACGAAGGUGAAUCGAGAGGUUUGCUGGACGUAUCAGAAGUGCGAAUGCUGACAUAAGUAACGAUAAAACGAGUGAAAAACUCGUUCGCCGGAAGACCAAGGGUUCCUGUCCAACGUUAAUCGGGGCAGGGUGAGUCGGCCCCUAAGGCGAGGCUGAAAAGCGUAGUCGAUGGGAAACGGGUUAAUAUUCCCGUACUUGGAUAAACUGCGAUGUGGGGACGGAGAAGGUUAGGUUAGCAGACUGU